UUGUGCGCUUUGUAAGAGCAGCUCGAGUCUUCUCGCUGUCCACCACAUGAGGGAUAUAGGACUAUUAUUUUGAUCGAGCUCGUCGCCACAAUUAUGCAGGUUCCCAGUGAGCAAGAUAUCCCAACUGAAGAAUGGAGCCUCAGCUCCCUGCUGUGAAUUCAAAGCAAAAGGAAGGCAUUGAAGUUGCACAAGAUGUUUUCUACCUGCAAGCUCUGGAAGAGGAACACCGCGCUUGGGAAUGCCACAGAGGGAAAAUCUGAAUUGAGAUUUUUCAUGAUGUUAAAGCAUCAAAGUACUCUUUGGAUGCUAAGGCUAUUUGGCAAUUUCUUUGAAGCUCUUCUUGGUUCUUUUUUCAUUGUGAGUAAAAAGAUAAAUAAAAUAAAAACUUUUCCCAACCCAGAAGAGCUCCUGGCAGGCGAUGACUUUUCAGUCUGAACAGCCACUUUGACCUGUAAAUCCCUCACUGAGAGUCAGCUGGCCAUAAGACCCUCGCCACUUUAAUUUUAAUGAAUGACAUGUAAUGACACAAAUUCUAACCUAACACUUUAGACACCAUCAACUAAAAAUAUUUCUCCAUCUACUGAAAGGCUGAUGUGACCCAUGACCCUUACACUGCCAUUCAUUGCUUAUGUUGUCAGGGAUCUUAAAAUUAAAGGGUAAGGUUGGUAUUACUGUAUAUUUUUCUUUUUGUCAAAGUCAAAUCUCUUGAAAAGACACAAAACCAACGAUCUGUUUUGGUCUUUCUCUCAAUGCUUUGACUUCCUUGCCCUGUCAGAAAUCUACCCUGCACAACAAUGGAGCUCUAUAGUACAGAGGAAUCAGAUAUGCAGGCUUUGAUUCACACAGAAAGCUUGGUAGUAGAAACAUUCAUUAUAAUUUUAAGACAAUAAGAAAAGACUACCACCAGGUCUAUGCUUUAAAGCAUAGUCUAUAUGUAAAUGUUAAAAUUACCGUCAAGCUUAUCAUCGACUUCACAGACAGAUGUAGCUGUUCUCUGGGUGUUGUUACUCCUCUAAUCUUUCAAAUCAAAUGUUUCACAUAACUGGAAUGCUUCGAAUGGCUUUGGAGCUCAUAAUACAUUUCCCUAAUAGCUCAGCUCUGUGAGAAAUGAACAUGUGAUUUAAAUGUAUUGCUAAACUGGCAGUCAAGAUGGGAAAUGACCAGCAACCACAAACAAAACAAAUAUCCUGUCGAUUCUCUGUCUCCCUUCCUGGCCUCUUUGGCAGGUAAAUAGCUGUAAUUUGGAGUCUGAUUAGUUGGAUGGCAAAAUAGUGGCUAGUGCCUCUUUGGUCACUGUUUAUGGUGACUUUGCAUUCAAACUGAAGAAAUAAAAGUAGCAAUAUCACGCAGGAAAUCAAAGCUGCACUACUUUAUUGAGGGACAUUUAUUGUGUUGUAGUUGUGUUGGUUUGCAGCGCCACAUAACGUUUUAUAUUACAUUUUGGACAGUAUCAUAAAUAUGAAAACGCAUUAUUACGUCAUCAUACAACAUUUCAAAGAGGUAAUAGUAUAAUAUUACACGCAGGACAGAAGUAGAAGAAAAGAGGAACAUUAUAUUUGUAGUUUGUCUCCUCCUUCUGCAUUCCCGCCUAAUUCACCCUGUUUCUCCUCAGCCUUUGACCUAUCCACCCCUCCCCCAAAACACACACAGGGGAAGACUGUUGACAGGGUAAAAAAAAUAGAAGUAAUUUCCUGAUGCGUCUUCCUCCAAGGUGUUUGGAAAAAGAAUGAAUAUGAAGUUGUGGUGGAAUACUGAUAGCAUUUACAUUUUAUAAUACUUUUCUGCUUUGGCUCCACUACAUUUCAGAGGGAAAUAUUGAGCUCAUUUCAUAAUUUUAGUCACUAGUUACUCUAUAGAUGAAGUGCUAUGAUGCACGGUAAUAGACUGAACAAGCCAAUAGUAUAUAAAAUAGUUGAAAUUCGUAGAGUUGCAGACAACAAAUUAAUCUGUAAAUAUUUUAAUAACUGAGUAAUCGUUAAAGUCAUGCCAAACAUUUGAUCAGCUUCAUGAAUGUGAGAGUGUGGGUCGUUUCUUGUAUUAACAUUACAAUAAGUUGACUAACUCCUGGUUUAGGGCUGUUGGUUCGAUAAAACAAUAAAUCUUUAAGACAUCCUCCUGGUCUGUAGGAAAUGCUGAUGGCCAUGUUUCACUGUUUUCUGAUGCGUUAUAAACUAUUAAGACAAUAGUUGGAAGAUGAAUAAAUUAAGACAAUAAUCUUUAGUUGCAGCCUAACCACCCCCCCCCCCCCAUCUCUCCAUCUCAACCAGCUACAACACUAAAAGUACAACACUAACAGGGGCCAUUGUUCUGCAUUACAAGUUCUUUUACUUUUUAUACUUUCAGUACAUUUAGCUAAUGCUAAAUGCAGGACUUUACUUGUAGUGGAGUAUUUUUACUUAGCUCUACUGCAACUUUUACUUGAGUAAAAGAUCUGAAAACUUUGUUUCACAGAUCAGUUUGUGAACAUGUUAUCCGGAUCAUACUCAGCCACCAAGGAAACAUUUAGUGGAAGAAAAAAAACAUUUGUACAACAAAACUUUUUCAUUAGGAACAAUAGGACAAUUAAUAAACUAUUUACAAACAUUUUGGAAUAAAAAAAAAGUAAGCCAAACUAAUGUCAUUACAAUUUCAAAGUUAGGUGACUAACAUACAAAUGUUAAGUUUAUAUAGGAUAAAAAAAAAAACUGAGAACAUGUUCCUACUUCAGAUUGAAUAGGUAGAUUUAGAUUUCCUAUUUUUAGUUUUCAAUUGUAAUCCCAGGUGUAGUGAAACAGAUGUAAUAUUUAUUUCUUGCUAGAACACUUAAGAAAGGUUGCCCACAAAAGUAUGUUAAAUAUGUUGCAUUCUAUGUGGUUAUUUGACCCUUGGAAACCCUAGCCUGUGACCUCACCAGCUCCCUGGGACUCCUUGUGAGUGUGUGUGUGUGCGCGCGUGUGUGUGUGGGUGGGUGGGUGUGUGUGUUCAGAGAAAGAAAGAGAGAAAGGCAGGGAAGAUGGGUUUAGGCCAGCUCAGGACAAGGAGUGUGUGUCCUCAGAGAGCUUGUGGGGGGGGGUGCUGAAUCUGUAGCAGAUUUAGAGCAAUAAACAGAGGAUUAAAUGUCACACUGAUCUGAAAGGUAGUUUUUAGUUGACUAGCAAUAACAUAUUGAGAUCAUAUUAAACCAUCCUGAAGCUGUGGUUACUGCAUAAUACAGUAUUAGCCUACUCUGUGUUUCUAUUGUUCUACUAAUCUAUUAAUAAUAUUGUGUUUAGGUGCAUAAUGCUUAUUGUUUUAGUGUUAUAAAAUAUGUUAUAAGUGAUGAAUUAAAUUGAUUUGAGAUUAACCCAUGGUAAAAUAAAAUGUUUGCUCUGUUUGUUGAUUUGA